rnacentral:rRNA from 1 species
GCGGCACGCCUAACACAUGCAAGUCGAACGAAGUAGCAAUACUUAGUGGCAGACGGGUGAGUAACAUGUAGGUAUCUGCCCUUUGGCCUGGAAUAACACGAGGAAACUUGUGCUAAUACCGGAUAAGUCUUUACGGAGAAAGCUUUAUGCACCAUUGGAUGAGCCUGCACUUGAUUAGUUUGUUGGUGGGGUAAUGGCCUACCAAGACUGUGAUCAAUAGCUGAUUUGAGAGGAUGAUCAGCCACAUUGGGACUGAGACACGGCCCAAACUCCUACGGGAGGCAGCAGUGGGGAAUCUUGCACAAUGGAGGAAACUCUGAUGCAGCGAUGCCGCGUGAGUGAAGAAGGCCCUUGGGUUGUAAAGCUCUUUCGUCGGGGAAGAAAAUGACUGUACCCGAAUAAGAAGGUCCG